UACGAAGGGGACUAGCGUUGUUCGGAAUCACUGGGCGUAAAGCGCACGUAGGCGGAUGUGUCAGUCAGGGGUGAAAUCCCGGGGCUCAACCUCGGAACUGCCUUUGAUACAGCACGUCUCGAGUCCGGAAGAGGUGGGUGGAAUUCCUAGUGUAGAGGUGAAAUUCGUAGAUAUUAGGAAGAACACCGGUGGCGAAGGCGGCCCACUGGUCCGGUACUGACGCUGAGGCGCGAAAGCGUGGGGAUCAAACAGG
rnacentral:rRNA from 1 species